GCCCAGGUGGCGGAAUUGGUAGACGCGCUAGCUUCAGGUGCUAGUGACCGUAUGGUCGUGGAGGUUCGAGUCCUCUCCUGGGCACCA
rnacentral:tRNA from 1 species